CCUGAAUGAAUCAGUGUUUUUGAACGAAUAGGUUGAAUGAAUGACUCAAUGAUUCACUCAUAAACACAGUCACUUGUCGCCACCUACUGGUGUAACGAUUUACCCUGCAGAAAGAGUCACCGCUCUCCCCCACCACUAAUGAAAACUAGUCCAUCUGGAUCGAGGAAAUACACGAUAAAACGGAAAUCAAACAGCAUAUUUUCGUAUAAUUUGAAUUAACAUAUAGUUCAUUAUUAACUCUAUUUCUCUUCCAAAAACAUGAAAUAAUUUCCACUGCUUUUAACAGAUACAGAGGUCAUUAGCUCUGAUGACAGCUGAAUCCAUUUGUUCACUGUAAUUGACAAUUCACAGACUUGAAAAAAAAACUUUUUGAAUGAGUAAAAUAUAGAACAUCUGAACAUACUGACAUCUGCAGAACUGUAUGCAAAUAUUCUUUCUCCUCCUCUUUAUUUGAUGAUUAAGAGGAAAAGAAACAGCUUGCUCUCACACUUCUCAAACCAUGGUCUCCUCAUCUCUCUGGUUGUUUCUGCUGCUAGCAGCUGUCUCUCGUGUCCACUGUGUUGAACUGACCCAGACUGAUUCUGUGGUCUUAAGGCCUGGUCAGGUUUUGACUCUGUCCUGUAAGAUCUCUGGAUAUUCAUUGACUGACAGCAACUACUGCACUAACUGGAUACGACAGGCUGCAGGAAAAGCUCUGGAAUGGGUCGGAGUGAUAUGUGGUGAUGGUAACACAUAUUACAGUGAUAAACUGAAAAGUAGAUAUCAAGUUAGCAGAGACACUUCCAGCAGCACAGUGACUCUACAAGGACAGAAUAUGCAGACUGAGGACACAGCUGUGUAUUACUGCGCCAGAGAGUCACAGUGACA